rnacentral:tRNA from 1 species
GGGUGAUUGGCUCAGCUGGGAGAGCACCUCCCUUACAGGGAGGGUCGGCGGUUCGAUCCCGUCAUCACCCACCA